GUUUUGUUCGCCCCAGAAAGAAAUUAAAAAAAGAUAAAGAAAAGCAAAUUGACGAAUGCAUCAACUGCUGCUGUGUGGCGUCAGUUGCUUUAAGCGAAUUCAGACGGUCGCGUGGUGAAAAUAUUGAACGGAAACCACUCGGCCAAAAGCCUUGUGUGAGACGAAAAGGACCAGGCGUCGUCAGUUAAGACUAUUCGGUCAGGUUAUUUUUCUGGUUGGAAAACAGAAAGAUCAUCAGAUUGGAUUCAACGACGGCGAGCUAACCCAGAGUGAUUUGAAAAACCAAGAACAUCAAAAAUUCUGGAAUAACAGACGGACUGUCUGUGUGGUAGGAUUGUAUCAGUCAUCGGACUGAUGCCUACAUUUUUCUUCUUUUUUUUUUUUCUUCCAAAGAGUGCACGCCAACGAACAUUUGGGAAAAAUCUAUUGCAAUAGAAAAACUGAGACAUUGAAUUAGUUGCCACUGCAACUAAUAUUGGACAAUUUUGACUUUGAUGAAACAAUUGACUUAGACUAAACUGAAGACUGUUAUUGUUAAAAUUGUUUAUUGUAUUGUUCAUUAAAAAAAAAAAAAAAAAAAAAUAUAUAUAUAUAUAUAUAUACAAAACUAGGAUUCCAAUUGCCUAAACCUGAUGUUUGAUGUGGUCAUUGUA